UCCGUAGGUGAACCUGCGGAAGGAUCAUUAACUAUUCUGUGCUCCGGCACUAAUACCUUGUGAAUCGUCUGCAUUGCAGUCACACAUUUAUAUUAAAUCUUAUGUUUAAAUUUAUUAAAACAACUUUUAACAACGGAUCUCUAGGCUCUUGCAACGAUGAAGAACGCAGCAAAAUGCGAUACGUAAUGUGACAUGCAUUAGUUUGUGAAUCAUCAAAUCUUUGAACGCAAUUUGCACUUUUCAAGUAAUUGAAGAGUAUACCUGUUUGAGUAUCAAAUAAUUCUAUCCAAUUAUGUUUAUUAAUGUAAUUGGGAUAUGGCAGCACAUUUAUUGUCUGCUUGAAUGCAUAAAUGAUUGUUUUGCGGUAGUUAUUGACAUGUGGUACAAGUUUUACUUUGCUGGUUUUUAACUGCUGCAUUGCUCUGUUCAUUAUUUGAUUAUGAUCUCAAAUCAGGCAAGAGUACCCGCUGGACUUAAGCAUAUCAGUAAGCGGAGGAAAAGAAACUAACAAGGAUUCCCCCAGUAACGGCGAGUGAAGCGGGAUGAGCUCAAAUUUUAAAUCCAUGUGGUUCCCAUAUGGAAUUGUAAUCUAUAGAGGAGCGCUGAACCGAUGGCUAGGAUAAAAGUUCUUUGGAAAAAGACAUCAUAGAGGGUGAAAAUCCCGUCCAUGAUCCAAUGCUGUCGGAUAUCACGCUUUCUUAAAGAGUCGGGUUGUUUGGGAUUGCAGCCCUAAUAGGUGGUAAAUUUCAUCUAAAGCUAAAUAAUGGCAAGAGACCGAUAGCGAACAAGUACCGUGAGGGAAAGAUGAAAAGCAUCUUGAAAAGGGAGUUAAAUAGCACGUGAAAUUGUUAAAAGGGAAACGCUUGAAGU
rnacentral:rRNA from 1 species